rnacentral:rRNA from 1 species
GACGAACGCUGGCGGCGUGCUUAACACAUGCAAGUGGAGCGACGAACCGGGCUUCGGCCCGGGGCCAAGCCGCGAACGGGUGAGUAUCACGUGGGUAACCUGCCCCGAUGACCGGGAUAACCCGAGGAAACUCGGGCUAAUACCGGAUGUGCUCUCCGCACAUCAGUGCGGAGAGCAAAGGAAGCUUCGGCCUCCGCAUUGGGAUGGGCCCGCGGCCCAUUAGCUUGUUGGUGAGGUAACGGCUCACCAAGGCUGCGAUGGGUAGCUGGUCUGAGAGGACGAUCAGCCACACUGGGACUGAGACACGGCCCAGACUCCUACGGGAGGCAGCAGUGGGGAAUCUUGCGCAAUGCGCGAAAGCGUGACGCAGCAACGCCGCGUGAGGGAAGAAGGCCUUCGGGUUGUAAACCUCUUUCAGGAGGGACGAAGGUCCAGGCGCGAAUAGCGUCCUGGACUGACGGUACCUCCAGAAGAAGCCCCGGCUAACUACGUGCCAGCCGCCGCUGUAAUAC